AUUGAACGCUGGCGGCAUGCUUUACACAUGCAAGUCGAACGGCAGCGCGGGCUUCGGCCUGGCGGCGAGUGGCGAACGGGUGAGUAAUGCAUCGGAACGUGCCCAGCUGUGGGGGAUAGCCCGGCGAAAGCAGGAUUAAUACUGCAUACGACCUGCGGGUGCAAGCGGGGGACCGUAAGGCCUCGCGCUAUUGGAGCGGCCGAUGCCGGAUUUGCUAGUUGGUGGGGUAAAGGCUUACCAAGCGGACGAUCCGUAGCUGGUCUGCGAGAAGGACCAGCCACACUGGGACUGGGCCACGGCCCUGAGUCCUACGGUAGGCAGCAGUGGGGAAUUGUGGACAAUGGGGGCAACCCUGAUCCAGCGAUGCCGCGUGCGGGAAGAAGGCCUUCGGGUUGUAAACCGGUUUUGUUCGGGAAGAAAUCCUCUGGGCUAAGACCCCGGGGGGAUGACGGUACCGGAAGAAGAAGCACCGGCUAACUACGUG
rnacentral:rRNA from 1 species